CAGCAGGUGGCAUAGUGGUUAAAGCUCUAACAUUGCAUUGUAAAGGUCGUGGGUUCGAAUCCCCCCUGCUGC
rnacentral:tRNA from 1 species